GACGAACGCUGGCGGCGUGCUUAACACAUGCAAGUCGAACGGAAAGGCCCUGCUUUUGUGGGGUGCUCGAGUGGCGAACGGGUGAGUAACACGUGGGUAACCUGCCCUUGACUUUGGGAUAACUUCAGGAAACUGGGGCUCAUACCGGAUAGGAGCUCCUGCUGCAUGGUGGGGGUUGGAAAGUUUCGGCGGUUGGGGAUGGACUCGCGGCUUAUCAGCUUGUUGGUGGGGUAGUGGCUUACCAAGGCUUUGACGGGUAGCCGGCCUGAGAGGGUGACCGGCGACAUUGGGACUGAGAUACGGCCCAGUCGCCUACGGGAGGCAGCAGUGGGGAAUAUUGCACAAUGGGCGGAAGCCUGAUGCAGCAACGCUGCGUGCGGGAUGACGGGCUUCGGGUUGUAAACCGCUUUCGACUGUGACGAAGCGUGAGUGACGGUAAUGGGUAAAGAAGCACCGGCUAACUACGUG
rnacentral:rRNA from 1 species